GCCCACAACAUUAUAUUAUAUUAUUUAUUUUUAUGUCUAUAAGAAAAACAAAAAGACAUAAAAACACAAUAGGAGAUAUAGAAAAAGAAACAGUUAAAAAAGGCACAGAGGAACGGGCUAAAAAAACUUGCGUAGAACAUAUGUUGGAUGAUGACAUGACUCGUCUUGAAAUGGACAGAUGCAGGCAAUAUGCAAUAUGGUACUUGAUGGUGCAUGUCCGGCUAGGAUGUC
rnacentral:lncRNA from 1 species